AUUGAACGCUGGCGGCAGGCCUAACACAUGCAAGUCGAGCGGAGCGGCGGACGGGGGAGUAAUGCCUAGGAAUCUGCCUGGUAGUGGGGGAUAACGUCCGGAAACGGGCGCUAAUACCGCAUACUAUACGUUCAGUCUAGGGCGGAUUAGCUAGUUGGUGGGGUAAAGGCCUACCAAGGUGAAUAUCCGUAACUGGUCUGAGAGGAUGAUCAGUCACACUGGAACUGAGAAACGGUCCAGACUCCUACGGGAGGCAGCAGUGGGGAAUAUUGGACAAUGGGCGAAAGCCUGAUCCAGCCAUGCCGCGUGUGUGAAGAAGGUCUUCGGAUUGUAAAGCACUUUAAGUUGGGAGGCGUUACCCACAGAUUAAGCACCGGCUAACUUCGUGCCAGCCGCCGCGGUAAUUC
rnacentral:rRNA from 1 species